GCGACCUCAGGUCAGG
rnacentral:rRNA from 1 species